AGAGUUUGAUCCUGGCUCAGGAUGAACUCUGGCGGCGUGCCUAAUACAUGCAAGUCGAACGCGGGCAGCAAUGCCCGAGUGGCGAACGGGUGAGUAAUACAUAAGUAACCUGCCCUAGACAGGGGGAUAACUGCUGGAAACGGCAGCUAAGACCGCAUAGGUAUGGACACUGCAUGGUGACCAUAUUAAAAGUGCCAAGGCACUGGUAGAGGAUGGACUUAUGGCGCAUUAGCUAGUUGGUGAGGUAACGGCUCACCAAGGCGACGAUGCGUAGCCGACCUGAGAGGGUGACCGGCCACACUGGGACUGAGACACGGCCCAAACUCCUACGGGAGGCUGCAGUGGGGAAUCUUCCGCAAUGGACGAAAGUCUGACGGAGCAACGCCGCGUGAAGGAAGAAGGAAUUCGUUCUGUAAACUUCUGUUAUAAAGGAAGAAAGAGGCAGUCAGGAAAUGGACUGCAGGUGACGGUACUUUAUGAGAAAGCCACGGCUAACUACGUGCCAGCAGCCGCGGUAAUACGUAGGUGGCAAGCGUUAUCCGGAAUUAUUGGGCGUAAAGAGGGAGCGGGAGGCAGCAAGGGUCUGUGGUGAAAGACUGAAGCUUAACUUCAGUAAGCCAUAGAAACCGGGCAGCUAGAGUGCAGGAGAGGAUCGUGGAAUUCCAUGUGUAGCGGUGAAAUGCGUAGAUAUAUGGAGGAACACCAGUGGCGAAGGCGACGAUCUGGCCUGUAACUGACGCUGAGGCUCGAAAGCAUGGGUAGCGAACAGGAUUAGAUACCCUGGUAGUCCAUGCCGUAAACGAUGAAUACUAGGUGUAGGGGUUGUCGUAUUUUCAGGGCUGCAAUUAACGCAAUUAAGGUACUCCGCCUGAGUAGUUCGUUUCGCAAGAAUGAAACUCAAAGGAAUUGACGGGGGCCCCGCACAAGCGGUGGAGCAUGUGGUUUUAAUUCGAAGCAACGCGAAGAACCUUACCAGGUCUUGACAUCCGGAUAAAUACCUCAGAGAUGAGGGGAUAGAUAUAACCGAGACAGGUGGUGCAUGGUUGUCGUCAGCUCGUGUCGUGAGAUGUUGGGUUAAGUCCCGCAACGAGCGCAACCCUUGUCGCUAGUUACCAUCAUUAAGUUGGGGACUCUAGCGAGACUGCCAGUGACAAGCUGGAGGAAGGCGGGGAUGACGUCAAAUCAUCAUGCCCCUUAUGACCUGGGCUACACACGUGCUACAAUGGAUGGAGCAGAGGGAAGCGAAGCCGCGAGGUGAAGCAAAACCCAUAAAACCAUUCUCAGUUCGGAUUGUAGUCUGCAACUCGACUACAUGAAGUUGGAAUCGCUAGUAAUCGCGAAUCAGCAUGUCGCGGUGAAUACGUUCUCGGGCCUUGCACACACCGCCCGUC
rnacentral:rRNA from 1 species